rnacentral:rRNA from 1 species
GGGAAUCUACCUUUUGCUACGGAAUAACUCAGGGAAACUUGUGCUAAUACCGUAUGUGCCCUUCGGGGGAAAGAUUUAUCGGCAAAGGAUGAGCCCGCGUUGGAUUAGCUAGUUGGUGGGGUAAAGGCCCACCAAGGCGACGAUCCAUAGCUGGUCUGAGAGGAUGAUCAGCCACACUGGGACUGAGACACGGCCCAGACUCCUACGGGAGGCAGCAGUGGGGAAUAUUGGACAAUGGGCGCAAGCCUGAUCCAGCCAUGCCGCGUGAGUGAUGAAGGCCUAGGGUUGUAAAGCUCUUUCACCGGUGAAGAUAAUGACGGUAACCGGAGAAGAAGCCCCGGCUAACUUCGUGCCAGCAGCCGCGGUAAUACGAGGGGGCUAGCGUUGUUCGGAUUUACUGGGCGUAAAGCGCACGUAGGCGGACUUUUAAGUCAGGGGUGAAAUCCCAGAGCUCAACUCUGGAACUGCCUUUGAUACUGGAAGUCUUGAGUAUGGUAGAGGUGAGUGGAAUUCCGAGU